CAGCAGACUCUAGAGCACAGAAAAUGUCCUCAGUGGUGUUUUGCCCUGGGGGUAAUAGGGCAGGUGGGUGGAUAGAGUGUGGGCUUUGUAUUGGUUGAUUUAUGUAUGAAGUGGGUGCUCACAGGUGAGUUGUUUAGUAUCUCUAGGAAUUUGUCAACCUGGAGGGUUAGAGCAACGGUGUCCGUCUAGAGCAAGGGUGUCCAAUCUUUUGGCUUCCCUGGGCCAUACUGGAAGAAGUGAAAUUGUCCUGGGCCACACAUAAAAUACACUAGGAUGGCUGAUGAGCUUAAAAAAAAUUGCAGAAGCUCAUAAUGUUUUCAGAAAGUUUACGAAUUUAUGUUGGGCUGCAUUAAGAGCCAUCCUGGGUGACUUGCUGUCUGCAGGCCGCAGGUUGAGCAAGCUUGCUCUAGAGUCAGCAAGGACUCAGAUGUCAAAGAUUUAGAACACAGAAAAUAAAAGACAUGAUUAAUACAGCAUUCUGACAGUGUUCCUCUUUUUAGUUUAUUUCACCUGUUUGAUAUUUGAUAGCACCAUUCCUGUUUUUGCUGCCUCUCUGCUGUUCUUAAUUUAACAAUCCUGUUUGUCCUCUCCAUUCAUUGUUUUAUGAGUUCAGAAAGUUUCCUUCUCUGGAUUUGUAGAUGUAAAGUUCUCCUAGAUCAUCCUGAGGACCUGAAGUUGACGAUUUCCAAAUUGUUCUUGUGUUUCUUAUAGUAAGUAGUAUUUUAGGAGACCUUUGUUUUAACCACCGGGAAUGUGCUUCUUACCAUUAACCGCAUUAUCUUUUAGCAGGUCUGGUGGUUUUCUGUUUGGUCUUCCUGCUGAAGCAAGGUCUGCACCUAUGUCAGUCCCUGUCUGUGUCUGGAUGGUUCACUGUUCAAAUCUUCAGGCUCACAUAAAAGGAGAAAGGAGAGAACAGAUACAUUUUAGAUGCCUUCAAAGCCGUGGGAUAGGGGUGAACAUGGAAAGCACCGAGAAGUCCUAAGAAGCCAGUGCUUGGAAAUUAGAAAGAGGAAGAGAAACUCACAGAUGACACUGAGGCUGAGAAGGAGCAGCCCAUCAAGUGCUAUAGGAGACUCUGAGUGUGAAAAACCCAAAGGUUAAGUUUUUUUUUUCUAUUCUCUUAUCAAAAAUAAUCAACACAGAAGAAUUCUGUGACCCAGUAUGUGAGGAUUUCUUCCUACCAACAAGCAUGGAAUCAACUCUGCAGCAGUUAUCAGCGGGUCAUGUUCCAACCCAACUCCAUUCUGACCAUGUCUAUCUGGAGGUAGCAUCAGAUCCCACAGGUUGAGGGCUCCGUCCACAAGCCUGCCCCUUGUUUUCGAUGUCUAUCAAAAGCCCAGGUUGGGGUGGGGCCGAGUCACCCAUCUAAUCCUGCUGUGGUCUUUCAGGUGAUCAGCCCCCUUCCUGAAGCUACGUAGGGGCCGACAGCCAUUGGUCAACUCAUGAGCAUCCAAAAAGAUAUCACUUUGGAGACUCCAGGGAUUUUAGGAUUUAUAUACCAGGAAGUGGGACAAAGACCAAAUACAUGCUUCACAAUAGCACAGAGACCAAAAGUGCGGGUGUCCUAAAGACCCAGAGAAGAAAGUCUUUGGAGGAGGCAACAGCCAUCAAGACUGGGACACUGACCCCUGGAUUUAGCAACGGACAGGUCUGGGUAUCUGGACAAGAGCAGACUGGGAAGAAUGAAGGCAUAGUCAGGGUGGGU
rnacentral:lncRNA from 13 species